CUGGACCCUGGAAGGACGAACUGCAGUGAGGCCAAAGUGGGAAGAAGAUGGACCAUGUGAAGGUAGAACUGAUGCUGGCAUUCCUUGGUGAAUAUGUGACAAGCAUCUGUUGAAGACCUGGCCACCCACUGGUCUUCAGAGGAUGCCUGGAGCUGCUGGAUCAGGUUGCAGCUGUGAGGACCAAGUCAAGACUGAGGCUGAGAUGCUGAGGAAGACAGAGCAGGGUACAGCCAGGUCCUAACGGACCUGAUCCAGCCAGCGUGUCAACUGACCUUGGA